UGGGGAAUAUUGGACAAUGGGGGGAACCCUGAUCCAGCCAUGCCGCGUGUGUGAAGAAGGCCUUAUGGUUGUAAAGCACUUUAAGCGAGGAGGAGGGUACUGGUAUUAAUACUACCAGCUACUGGACGUUACUCGCAGAAUAAGCACCGGCUAACUCUGUGCCAGCAGCCGCGGUAAUACAGAGGGUGCAAGCGUUAAUCGGAAUUACUGGGCGUAAAGCGCGCGUAGGUGGUUCGUUAAGUUGAAUGUGAAAGCCCCGGGCUCAACCUGGGAACUGCAUCCAAAACUGGCGAGAUAGAGUAGGGCAGAGGGUGGUGGAAUUUCCUGUGUAGCGGUGAAAUGCGUAGAUAUAGGAAGGAACACCAGUGGCGAAGGCGACCACCUGGGCUCAUACUGACACUGAGGUGCGAAAGCGUGGGGAGCAAACAGG
rnacentral:rRNA from 1 species